rnacentral:rRNA from 1 species
CAGUCGCCACGGUAAUACGAAGGGUGCAAGCGUUACUCGGAAUUACUGGGCGUAAAGCGUGCGUAGGUGGUGGUUUAAGUCCGUUGUGAAAGCCCUGGGCUCAACCUGGGAAUUGCAGUGGAUACUGGGUCACUAGAGUGUGGUAGAGGAUAGUGGAAUUUCCGGUGUAGCAGUGAAAUGCGUAGAGAUCUGGAGGAACAUCAGUGGCGAAGGCGGCCAUCUGGGACAACACUGACGCUGAAGCACGAAAGCGUGGGGAGCAAACAGGAUUAGAUACCCGCGUAGUCCCUGUCUCUUAUAC